GGACACCUGACAGGGCAGAAAAAGUAGAGAGGAUCUGGAGGGACAAAAAAUAAACAGUACAAGCUGGUAUUAGUUGUAAUCAGAAAAUGAGGUGUUAUUUAUAUAAAAAUGAACCUCAGCAGACUAGAAAUCAAGCAGCAUCAGUGAACUUAUUUUUACAGCCACGAUUCUGAGCUAACCCUAUGUUCAGCUUCAGGAAUGUGGAGAUGUUAUCAGACAUGGCCUGAGGCUCCCUGAAGAAGAGAGACAUGUAACCAACAACUAAAACACAGGAGCAGUCCAGGGAGAUGAUGCAGCUGCCUGGUUGCUGGUCACCAGGGCUGUUGGACACCUGUGUGGAGGACCUGGGAGAAGUCUUUUGCUCCACACUUGCUCCUUUCCUGCCAGGGUCCAUUAAAUCUCAGAGUUUUCUCCAGCUGGUGGUAGAAGGGGAAGUCAGGAUGAUUCCAAGCAAGAAGGAUCCCACCCUCAGUUGCUGGCUCUGAGGUGUGGCAGAAGUCCACCUUCGGUGAGCCGCCGAAAGCAACCUCCAGUUGCUGAGAGCUGUUCCGGUCUGACAGUCAGUAAGGCAGCGGGGACUUCAAUCCUAC
rnacentral:lncRNA from 1 species